GGUGGCUUCUCCCCCAGAGAAGCUUCUGGUCGGCCGUGCAUGUUGCAUGGGGACACGGCCAGUCAGGUGCCCAGAGCCAUAUCCAAGGACAUGUCCAGGUCCAUGGUCAUGUCCAGGGUCAUGUCCAGGGUCAUGUCCAGGGCUGUAUCCAGCCCCAUGUCCAGGGUUGUGUCUGGGGUCCUGUCCAGGGAUGUGUCCAGGCUCAUGUCCAGGGCUGUAUCCAGGCCAGUGUCCAGGGCUUGUGUCCUGGCCUGUUUCCAGGUCUGUGUCCAGGCUCAUGUCCAGACCAGUGUCCAGGGUCAUGUCCAGACCCAUGUCCAGGGCCAUGUCCAAGGUCACGCACGUCCAGAGC